AUGUCACGACCCGAAACUCCCCAUCGGGCCCGUGACAACCGCCGCGAGGCCUCGACAGACAUUCUUCACCCCGAAUGUCGAUUGAAACCUCGCAAGGCUUAGCAUCAACUUUCGCAUCUCCCCGGUGAGAAACAGUUAUUAAAUCUCGCAUUUCAAAAAAAUCAUAAGUCAUUUUUAAAUAAGAACAAUAAAAUAUUAUUUUUUGGCUCACAGGGGUAUUUUUCGUAAUUUUUGGUCAAAAAUCUCAAAACUUGCUAAAAAUGUAGUAGGUAAGCAGAAAAUAUAUAUUUAAUGAUUUAAAAACAAUUAAGUAUCUAAAACGUUCAUUUGAAAGCAAAUUGUUGACAACUAGUACUAUUCAAAAAUAAUAAAUAAAAUAUUCUAUUUUCUCAUAAAAUAAAUUUUUAUAGAAAUAUUCGUAAAUAAUUUUUCGCACAUGAAAGUAAAGUAAAAAUUGUAUGAAUAGAAAUACAGAUAACCAAAAUAUAAGUUUUGAUCUGCAAUGACACGUGGGCUCCAAUUGACCAAGAGGAUGUAAGACUGUGAACUCUUACUUUUUAUAAUGCAGUUCCGAGCUUAGUUCUCGUCUUAUUCGACUAUCUACAAACUGUCCUGAGCCUGAAAAAUGUAUAGGAAGAAGGGGUGAGAUUUUAUAAUCCCAGUGAGUAAAUAGAUACCAUCUAAAGUAUCUAAAGCCGAGUAAAUGGAGACAAUUAAAAUAAGUCAUCAUACUGUAAUUUCAUUACCUUUCAGUUCAUUUAAACCAAAUAAAAUCAAUCCAUAUAAAUCGAGUAAUCAACUUGGCUUAUGAAUUUCUUAAAACUUUGGUUCGUGCCAAAACUCAUACUCAGUGAUACCUUGCGCAGGGCAUCCAACCGAGUCCGCCAAGGUUGUUAAAAUUUCAUAUACACUUAAAAUAUAUCUUUAGUUUGAGAAAAAUACAGUCGUUCCUUGGCGUUGGCUGAGUUCCCCUUCACGUGGUGGUUUA
rnacentral:lncRNA from 1 species